rnacentral:rRNA from 1 species
CGGGACACGUGGUAUCCUGUCUGAAUAUGGGGGGACCAUCCUCCAAGGCUAAAUACUCCUGACUGACCGAUAGUGAACCAGUACCGUGAGGGAAAGGCGAAAAGAACCCCGGCGAGGGGAGUGAAAAAGAACCUGAAACCGUGUACGUACAAGCAGUGGGAGCACCUUCGGGUGUGACUGCGUACCUUUUGUAUAAUGGGUCAGCGACUUAUAUUCUGUAGCAAGGUUAACCGUAUAGGGGAGCCGCAGGGAAACCGAGUCUUAACUGGGCGUUAAGUUGCAGGGUAUAGACCCGAAACCCGGUGAUCUAGCCAUGGGCAGGUUGAAGGUUGGGUAACACUAACUGGAGGACCGAACCGACUAAUGUUGAAAAAUUAGCGGAUGACUUGUGGCUGGGGGUGAAAGGCCAAUCAAACCGGGAGAUAGCUGGUUCUCCCCGAAAGCU